rnacentral:rRNA from 1 species
GAUGAACGCUGGCGGCGUGCCUAAUACAUGCAAGUCGAGCGAACAGACGAGGAGCUUGCUCCUCUGACGUUAGCGGCGGACGGGUGAGUAACACGUGGAUAACCUACCUAUAAGACUGGGAUAACUUCGGGAAACCGGAGCUAAUACCGGAUAAUAUAUUGAACCGCAUGGUUCAAUAGUGAAAGACGGUUUUGCUGUCACUUAUAGAUGGAUCCGCGCCGCAUUAGCUAGUUGGUAAGGUAACGGCUUACCAAGGCAAUGAUUCGUAGCCGACCUGAGAGGACGCGCAGCAACAUCGGACGGGAGACACCAGUAGAGAAUCUACCGGAGUGAGCAGUAAGCAAUAGUGGGGAAGGGGCGUGAGUGUGAAGGAGCAUCGCAGCGUAGAACUCUAUUAUUAUCGGAGAGCAAAUGUGUAAUUAAAGGUGAACGUCUUGACGGUACCUAAUCAGAAAGCCACGGCUAACUACGUG